rnacentral:rRNA from 1 species
AUUGAACGCUGGCGGCAGGCCUAACACAUGCAAGUCGAACGAGUGGCGGACGGGUGUGUAAUGUGUGGGAAACUGCCUGAUGGGGGGGGAUAACUACUGGAAACGGUAGAUAAUACCGCAUACCCUCGGAUGUGCCCAGAUGGGAUUAGCUAGUAGGUGGGGUAAGGGCUCACCUAGGCGACGAUCCCUAGCUGGUCUGAGAGGAUGACCAGCCACACUGGAACUGAGACACGGUCCAGACUCCUACGGGAGGCAGCAGUGGGGAAUAUUGGACAAUGGGCGAAAGCCUGAUGCAGCCAUGCCGCGUGUGUGAAGAAGGUCUUCGGGUUGUAAAGUACUUUCAGUUGGGAGGCGUUACCCGCAGAAGAAGCACCGGCUAACUCCGUGCCAGCAGCCGCGGUAAUUC